CAGUUGAGAGGUGGGAUCAAAGAGCCAGAGCUCAACCCCCACAAACACAACAAGAUGUACACACACAGAGCAGUUGCAUAAUCAGAGCUCUCCAGGUUCAGAUCUUCAAAGUCAUUACCUCAUGAUGGUGCAAGUUUGAAAAUGUAUGAGUGGUGUCACUAUAUAAACAAGAAAUAAAAUGAUAAAACAGGAAUAGGCAUAGCACUGCGAAGAAAGAUUAAAAGUCAUAGCACAAGUUUUAGACGUAGAAAACUGGAAGCCAUGACUGGUGACCCAGGAUAUGUUAUCAAGUGCGAGUUAGAGCUUAUGCUGGAAGAGAUCAUCGCCACGACAGCCGAGGGCGAGAUCGUCAAUAUAAAGAGCUGACAAAAUACCACGGGGAAGGAAGGAUGACCAUUCAGGACAACCAGAAAUAGAGUAGUGCUCAGAACACUACCCUGGGAGUAGUGUUGUUCAAACUGUUGAAAGAAAAUUAUAGUAAGCAGUGCAAACCCUCAUCUGGAAUGAGCAGCCAGAGAGCGAGCUUUGAAAAAAAUGUGGGAGAUUGCCAUGAAGGCAAAAAGAGUGUAGCUGGAUAAGAUUAUUUUACCUCCAGGUGGUGUCAUAACCUUUUUCCAGGUCAAAAAGAAUUGUCAUAACAGGAAUUUGUAGCAAAGACAGUAUGGAUGUAGUCCACCAAAAUAUCCAUAGUGCUGUAACCAUUGUGAAAGGGAAAGGUAGCCAUGAUUUUCCAAGAACCACACAAGUUGGACAUUAAACUAUUAAUUAAUAAAAUGGAGCAAGUCCAAAGAUAAUGCUAAAGAGUGAUGAGAAAAGAUUAGUCACAAAUUGCAAAGAAUGAAAGAAGUCAAGACAUACUUGCCACAUGUAAGGUUAUAAUAAGCACAGAAAACUAGAAAGUUGUUCUAAAACCAAGUAUGACUACAAAUAAAAGGUCAGAUAUCAAAUAUACAGAUGCAGAAAAAAUAUGAUGAUUGUAAACAAUAGCUGGAGAGGUGGAGACAAUUGUGUGUGCCAUACCUUCAUGUUAAUUCAAUUCUAAAUUUGAAAAUAUGUACAAAGUUGACAAUACCACAAGCAUACCUCUCUUCCUAUAGUUACAAUUAGGUAAUUACACACACACACUCACACAAAUCCAUUCAUUAGAGAUAAUGCAUUUAUUUUACUUUAUUAUCCCACACAAAACUGUUUAAAAUGUAAAAGCAAGUUAUUGGAUUUGUUAACAAAUAAUAAAUAUUAUCCUGAACUAAUUUAUGGUCAUAAGUGCACAUAAAUGCCUAUUAUUCAUUUCACAUAAAUUAAAGCUUUUUCAUAUGACUGAGCUUUACUAAACAAAACACACAAACAACUUGGUAUUCUAGAUACAAAUAUUGUUAUAGAAUUUGAGGAGUGUGUCUACAGCCUCUAUACUGUAUUGAUUCUAUCUUACGAAAUUCCUUAAAGCUCUUAAUUGUUACAUAAUCUGAAUGAAAAACUCUUCAGGAUUAAGUUGUUAUUAAUAUACCUGUAUUAUGAUGACAGACUUAAUUUGUAUUUGUUUAUGUAUUACCCCUAGAAAUUUUAAGAGUUUUCCAUUCAUCAUUACAAAUCAUCACAAAUGAGGAUACUAACUUUUCAUUAGCCGUAUCCAGGCUCACACGUUAAUAAUUCACAAUAUAGCACAAGCAACUUUCACAGAAAACACAGCCAAAAGUUACAAUAUAUAGCAACAGGUCAUUUCUACAAGCUUAGUGGUGUUUCUAGGAGUGGAUAUCAUUUUGUACAUUUAUAUUAUAAAAUUGAAAGAAUAUCAACCUUAUGAUAGGUACUUUACUUAUAUAAAGCAUAUUAUGUAUAUACAGACUUAUCAAGGAAUUAUAUCCAUUAUUUUGGAUAUGAAAUAGCAAUUUGAGGGAGAAAGUUUAAAUACAGAAUGUUUAGGUAAUAUAAGCCUCUUAUAUCCAGGACCAGGUGAUGCAUCAACCUGUUUUAUAUAGGACCAGGUGAUGCAUCAACCUGUUUUAUAUAGGACCAGGUGAUGCAUCAACCUGUCUUAUACAGGACCAGGUGAUGCAUCAACCUGUCUUAUACAGGACGAAGUGAUGCAUCAACCUGUCUUAUCCAGAAUUUAAUUUCUUUAUGCCAUUAAUUCAGUAACAUUAUAAUACCAUAACAUAAAAUACUGUUGGUGGCGUGAUGUCUCACGACAAACCUCGUGUUCCAACAGACUAUAUCUGGUGAUACACUCCAAUAAAGUGACAUUGUAUGUCAACAUGUCUUUAAGUGAAAUAUUGAACACUCAACAUUGCAAGUGCUUUAGGAGAAUAUAUGUGCAUGCAGACAAUGAGUCACAAUAACGUGGCUGAAGUAUGUUGACCUGACCACACACUAGAAGGGGAAGGGAUGACGACGUUUUGGUUCGUCCUGGACCGAAAAAGUCCAAUCGACUUGAGAAUGGUCCAGGACGGACCGAAACGUCGUCGUCGUCCCUUCACCUUCUAGUGUGUGGUCAGGUCAAAAUAUAUGUCCAUGUUUAUCUAUACAAGUUCAACAAACUUAGAAAAUAGCAGAGGAAGAGGUAAUGUUUACGAGAGCAUGAGAUAUGUUUUAGUCUAUCCGUUGUACUUUUGUUUAUGUUCAUAUCACUUAACUUGAGUGUAUUCCCCUGAUAUUAACAUUAUUAUUGUGAAAAAACAUUUCACCUGUUAUGUAAUCACUGUUUAGUUGUAAUAAAUAAAGUGGAGCAGUA